CCUACGGGAGGCAGCAGUAGGGAAUAUUGCGCAAUGGCCUAACGGCUGACGCAGCAACGCCGCGUGGAGGAUGAAGUCUUUCGGGAUGUAAACUCCUGUCAGAGGGGAAGAAAUCUCAUCCGACAAUAAUCGGAUGAGUUUGACGGUACCCUCAGAGGAAGCACCGGCCAACUCCGUGCCAGCAGCCGCGGUAAU
rnacentral:rRNA from 1 species